UGGCUCAGUCAGUGGAGCGUGGGAUUCUUGAUCUCAGGGUUGUGAGUUCGAGUCCCAC
rnacentral:tRNA from 1 species